UAGGUGCAGAGCCUGUGAAACAUGACUCA
rnacentral:piRNA from 1 species